AAGCUCGGCCAGCAGAGGGCUCAGCAAGGCUCGCUCGCUUCAGAUCAAUCAGCAGCCCUGGGGAGCCGAUCAUGGAGAAGCUGAAACGGACUUGAUCAAAGGGCUCCUGCUGAUCCAUGUACGCCGCGCCUGUCACCGGGGCCAUGGACUGGCCGCCCGUCUUCCCCCAGAGCCGCUCCGAGACUCCCGCGCUCUCCGGCCUAUCCUCCAGCCGGCUGAGAAGCACGCUAGUGACAGGAUGUGACCUUAUUCCACCGGCCAGCACAUCAACUCCAGGCUGGGGCUCUCCCCAGAGACUGCGGGAAGAUUUUGCUCCAUGAGCCCCCUAGAAGACCCCCGCAUCUGUACGUAUUGUCUAAAGCUCGAGGGAGACGUCGGAUAAUAUCCUGGUCCGUCUGACGAGUAAAUCUUUCUUUCCCGCGGUCUAAUGUCAUUCAUGGCCGGGAAAUGGCACGGUAUUGUGAGGCAGUGCCUCCUUUAUGCUGCCUCGUAGACAGUGUGAACUAGGUUUACAUCUCGGAUGAAUGAUUUUGUCAGCAUUAACAGCCAUUUUGUGACGUAUGGGCUCAGAGCAGCUAAUGUGACUGGAAGAGAAUAAAAGAGAGCAGAAGAUGGAUGUCAGCAAAGAGCAAUCACUGCAUAAUCUUCUCUUUAUGUAACCUGGAUGGUGGAGCAUUCACAUGCAUCACAUUCAGCUGCCGGCCUGACUUCUAUAGCAGCUAAUGGGUCAAUGCUAAUCACGCAUUUCACGUUUUCCCCCUUGUUAGAUUAAGAAGUGAAUAUUAAUAGUUCCAUGUAUAAAGCUGUGACUAGCAGUAUGUCUGAAGACAGAAAGGGCAUUGUUUUCAUUGUUACGUUCACACAGCCGAUCUGAGCAGUUCUAACAUCCGGCCGUUUCCUUGUUCUAUUCUGUGUAUAUUCUUAAAAAAAAGAUUAGAACCUAUGGAUAUUUUAGUUUGCUGGUUAUUUAAAUGCUUGAAUUUGGGUCAAGAUUUGU